UACGUAGGGGUCUAGCGUUGUUCGGAAUUACUGGGCGUAAAGGGCGCGUAGGCGGUCAGACCAAGUCGAGUGUGAAAUUCCAGGGCUUAACUCUGGCACGCUCGCUCGAUACUGGUCGGCUAGAGUGUGGAAGAGGAUGCUGGAAUUCCCGGUGUAGCGGUGAAAUGCGUAGAUAUGCGGAGGAACACCGAUGGCGAAGGCAAUCCCCUGGGCCUGCACUGACGCUCAUGCACGAAAGCGUGGGGAGCAAACAGG
rnacentral:rRNA from 1 species